AGUGAACGCUGGCGGUAGGCCUAACACAUGCAAGUCGAACGGCAGCACAGUAAGAGCUUGCUCUUACGGGUGGCGAGUGGCGGACGGGUGAGGAAUACAUCGGAAUCUACUUUUUCGUGGGGGAUAACGUAGGGAGACUUACGCUAAUACCGCAUACGACCUACGGGUGAAAGCAGGGGAUCUUCGGACCUUGCGCGAUUGAAUGAGCCGAUGUCGGAUUAGCUAGUUGGCGGGGUAAAGGCCCACCAAGGCGACGAUCCGUAGCUGGUCUGAGAGGAUGAUCAGCCACACUGGAACUUAGACACGGUCCAGACUCCUACGGGAGGCAGCAGUGGGGAAUAUUGGACAAUGGGCGCAAGCCUGAUCCAGCCAUACCGCGUGGGUGAAGAAGGCCUUCGGGUUGUAAAGCCCUUUUGUUGGGAAAGAAAAGCAGCAGGUUAAUACCCCGCUGUUCUGACGGUACCCAAAGAAUAAGCACCGGCUAACUUCGUG
rnacentral:rRNA from 1 species